GUAAAAUUACCCAGGAGCAAAAAAGCCGUUGUGUAAGGGGUCAGGAAUACACGGAAGAGCUGCUGACAUCAGGCGCCACUAGGAACCCACAUGUAUUUCCUUGUGUAAACACAUGUGGCCAGAAGGCGUCCGUGGUCACUUUGCUCCCUCCAGAGCUGGUCUCUAUGAAACAGCCGGCAGAAGCAGCAAACAAUACGACUAUUAUUAUUUGGAGGACAGGAGCAAAACUCUGCAAAAAGAAAAGGUUUUUUGAGAGGCGAACAAUUGAAGCCAUGAUUGUGGGACACUCGCUCGGCUAUUAAACCAUCAACAACUGUAUUGCGCC